rnacentral:rRNA from 1 species
AAUAGAUACCCUGGUAGUCCACGCCGUAAACGUUGGGCACUAGGUGUGGGGUCUAUUCAACGGACUCCGUGCCGUCGCUAACGCAUUAAGUGCCCCGCCUGGGGAGUACGGCCGCAAGGCUAAAACUCAAAGGAAUUGACGGGGGCCCGCACAAGCAGCGGAGCAUGUUGCCUAAUUCGAGGCAACGCGAAGAACCUUACCUGGGUUUGACAUGUAGGGAAAAGCCAUAGAGAUAUGGUGUCCUUAGGGGUCCUACACAGGUGGUGCAUGGUUGUCGUCAGCUCGUGUCGUGAGAUGUUGGGUUAAGUCCCGCAACGAGCGCAACCCUUGUCCUAUGUUGCCAGCACGUUAUGGUGGGGACUCGUAGGAGACUGCCGGGGUCAACUCGGAGGAAGGUGGGGACGACGUCAAAUCAUCAUGCCCCUUAUAUCCAGGGCUGCAAACAUGCUACAAUGGCCGGUACAAAGGGCUGCUAAACCGUGAGGUGGAGCGAAUCCCAUAAAGCCGGUCUCAGUUCGGAUUGGAGUCUGCAACUCGACUCC